rnacentral:rRNA from 1 species
AACGAACGCUGGCGGCAUGCCUAACACAUGCAAGUCGAACGAGACCUUCGGGUCUAGUGGCGCACGGGUGCGUAACGCGUGGGAACCUGCCCUUAGGUUCGGAAUAACUCCCCGAAAGGGGUGCUAAUACCGGAUAAUGUCUUCGGACCAAAGAUUUAUCGCCUUUGGAUGGGCCCGCGUUGGAUUAGCUAGUUGGUAGGGUAAAAGCCUACCAAGGCGACGAUCCAUAGCUGGUCUGAGAGGAUGAUCAGCCACACUGGGACUGAGACACGGCCCAGACUCCUACGGGAGGCAGGAGUAGGGAAUAUUGGACAAUGGGCGAAAGCCUGAUCCAGCAAUGCCGCGUGAGUGAUGAAGGCCUUAGGGUUGUAAAGCUCUUUUACCCGGGAUGAUAAUGACAGUACCGGGAGAAUAAGCACCGGCUAACUCCGUG